rnacentral:rRNA from 1 species
UACGUAGGGUGCGAGCGUUGUCCGGAAUUAUUGGGCGUAAAGAGCUUGUAGGCGGUUUGUCGCGUCUGCCGUGAAAAUCCGAGGCUCAACCUCGGACUUGCGGUGGGUACGGGCAGACUUGAGUGUGGUAGGGGAGACUGGAAUUCCUGGUGUAGCGGUGAAAUGCGCAGAUAUCAGGAGGAACACCGAUGGCGAAGGCAGGUCUCUGGGCCACUACUGACGCUGAGAAGCGAAAGCAUGGGGAGCGAACAGG